AGCGAACGCUGGCGGCAGGCCUAAAACAUGCAAGUCGAACGCCUGUAGCAAUACAGGAGUGGCAGACGGGUGAGUAACACGUGGGAACGUACCCUUUGGUUCGGAACAACACAGGGAAACUUGUGCUAAUACCGGAUAAGCCCUUACGGGGAAAGAUUUAUCGCCAGAGGAUCGGCCCGCGUCUGAUUAGCUUGUUGGUGAGGUAACGGCUCACCAAGGCUACGAUCAGUAGCUGGUCGAGAGGAUGAUCAGCCACAC
rnacentral:rRNA from 1 species